AGUGAACGCUGGCGGUAGGCCUAACACAUGCAAGUCGAACGGCAGCACAGUAAGAGCUUGCUCUUACGGGUGGCGAGUGGCGGACGGGUGAGGAAUACAUCGGAAUCUACUUUUUCGUGGGGGAUAACGUAGGGAAACUUACGCUAAUACCGCAUACGACCUACGGGUGAAAGCAGGGGAUCUUCGGACCUUGCGCGAUUGAAUGAGCCGAUGUCGGAUUAGCUAGUUGGCGGGGUAAAGGCCCACCAAGGCGACGGUCCGUAGCUGGUCUGAGAGGAUGAUCAGCCACACUGGAACUGAGACACGGUCCAGACUCCUACGGGAGGCAGCAGUGGGGAAUAUUGGACAAUGGGCGCAAGCCUGAUCCAGCCAUACCGCGCGGGUGAAGAAGGCCUUCGGGUUGUAAAGCCCUUUUGUUGGGAAAGAAAAGCAGCAGGUUAAUACCCCGCUGUUCUGACGGUACCCAAAGAAUAAGCACCGGCUAACUUCGUG
rnacentral:rRNA from 1 species